rnacentral:rRNA from 1 species
AGAUUGAACGCUGGCGGCAGGCCUAACACAUGCAAGUCGAGCGGUAGAGAGGUGCUUGCACCUCUUGAGAGCGGCGGACGGGUGAGUAAUGCCUAGGAAUCUGCCUAGUGGUGGGGGAUAACGUUCGGAAACGGACGCUAAUACCGCAUACGUCCUACGGGAGAAAGCGGGGGACCUUCGGGCCUCGCGCCAUUAGAUGAGCCUAGGUCGGAUUAGCUAGUUGGUGAGGUAAUGGCUCACCAAGGCGACGAUCCGUAACUGGUCUGAGAGGAUGAUCAGUCACACUGGAACUGAGACACGGUCCAGACUCCGUACGGGAGGCAGCAGUGGGAAUAUUGGACAAU